rnacentral:misc_RNA from 1 species
CAGUGGCAGAUUCAGAAAUUUUUAUUUUCUGGGGUCAACAUGUAAAAAAUAAAUUGUAAAAUACUACUAAAAAGGUCAAAAAUAUGAUAUUAAUAUCUUAUAAUUAGACAGACUGACAAGAAAAGUAUUAAGAAUUAUAACAUUAUUAAUGUUUUCAAAUACAUCUUUCUCUAUUAUACCCUUAUUUAGUUUUAAAAUUUACCAAAAAGAGGGUUAAAUAAUUAAAUUUGUAAGGAGUCGGUUUAUAUAUAUAUAUAUAUGAA